CCUACGGGUGGCAGCAGUGGGGAAUAUUGGGCAAUGGGCGCAAGCCUGACCCAGCAACGCCGCGUGAAGGAAGAAGGCUUUCGGGUUGUAAACUUCUUUUAAGAGGGAAGAGCAGAAGACGGUACCUCUUGAAUAAGCCACGGCUAACUACGUGCCAGCAGCCGCGGUAAUACGUAGGUGGCAAGCGUUGUCCGGAUUUACUGGGUGCAAAGGGCGUGCAGCCGGGAAGACAAGUCAGAUGUGAAAUCUGGUGGCUCAACCAUUCAGACUAUUAGCGAAACUGUUAAGCUCGAGACCGUUAGGGGUAACUGGAAUUUCUAGUGUAGGAGUGAAAUCCGUAGAUAUUAGAAGGAACACCAAUAGCGUAGGCAGGUUGCUGGGACGGUUCUGACACUAAGGCACGAAAGCGUAGGGAGCAAACGGGAUUAGAUACCCGAGUAGUC
rnacentral:rRNA from 1 species